rnacentral:rRNA from 1 species
GAUGAACGCUGACAGAAUGCUUAACACAUGCAAGUCAACUUGAAUUUGGGUUUUUAACUUAGGUUUGGGUGGCGGACGGGUGAGUAACGCGUAAAGAACUUGCCUCACAGUUAGGGACAACAUUUGGAAACGAAUGCUAAUACCUGAUAUUAUGAUAAUAGGGCAUCCCAUAAUUAUGAAAGCUAUAAGCGCUGUGAGAGAGCUAUGCGUCCCAUUAGCUAGUUGGAGAGGUAACGGCUCACCAAGGCGAUGAUGGGUAGCCGGCCUGAGAGGGUGAUCGGCCACAAGGGGACUGAGACACGGCCCUUACUCCUACGGGAGGCAGCAGUGGGGAAUAUUGGACAAUGGACCAAGAGUCUGAUCCAGCAAUUCUGUGUGCACGAUGAAGUUUUUCGGAAUGUAAAGUGCUUUCAGUUGGGAAGAAAUAAAUGACGGUACCAACAGAAGAAGUGACGGCUAAAUACGUGCCAGCAGCCGCGGUAAUACGUAUGUCACGAGCGUUAUCCGGAUUUAUUGGGCGUAAAGCGCGUCUAGGUGGUUAUGUAAGUCUGAUGUGAAAAUGCAGGGCUCAACUCUGUAUUGCGUUGGAAACUGUAUAACUAGAGUACUGGAGAGGUAAGCGGAACUACAAGUGUAGAGGUGAAAUUCGUAGAUAUUUGUAGGAAUGCCGAUGGGGAAGCCAGCUUACUGGACAGAUACUGACGCUGAAGCGCGAAAGCGUGGGUAGCAAACAGG